GAUGAACGCUGGCGGCGUGCCUAAUACAUGCGAGUCGAGCGAACAGACGAGGGUCUUGCGCGUCUGACGUUAUCGGGGGACGGGUGAGGAACACGUGUAUAACCUAGCUAUAAGACUGGGAUAACUUCGGGAAACCGGAGCUAAGACGGGAUGAUAUAUUGAACCGCAUGGUUCAAUAGUGGAAGACGGUUUUUGUGUCGCUUAUAGAUGGAUCCGCGCCCGAUUAGCUAGUUGGUAAGGUAACGGCUUACCAAGGCAACGAUGCGAAGCCGCCCUGAGAGGGUGAAUGGCCACACUGGAUGUGAGACACGGCCCAGACUCCUACGGGAGGACGCAGUCGGGACUCCUACGCAAUGGGCCAAAGCCUGAUGUAGCACCGCCGCGUGAGUGAUGAUGGUCUCCUGCCCGUAAAACUCUGUUAUUCGGGAAGAACAAAUGUGUAAGUAACUAUGCACGUCUUGACGGUACCUACUCAGAAAGCCCCGGCUAACUCCGUG
rnacentral:rRNA from 1 species